rnacentral:rRNA from 1 species
UACGAAGGGGGCUAGCGUUGUUCGGAAUUACUGGGCGUAAAGCGUGCGCAGGCGGCUUCUCAAGUCAGGGGUGAAAGCCCAGAGCUCAACUCUGGAAUUGCCUUUGAGACUGAGUGGCUUGAGUACGAGAGAGGUGAGUGGAAUUCCCAGUGUAGAGGUGAAAUUCGUAGAUAUUUGGGAAGAACACCGGUGGCGAAGGCGGCUCACUGGCUCGUAACUGACGCUCAU